rnacentral:rRNA from 1 species
UACGUAGGGUGCAAGCGUUAUCCGGAAUUAUUGGGCGUAAAGAGCUCGUAGGCGGUUUGUCGCGUCGGCUGUGAAAUCCCGAGGCUCAACCUCGGGCCUGCAGUCGAUACGGGCAAACUAGAGUGUGGUAGGGGAGACUGGAAUUCCUGGUGUAGCGGUGAAAUGCGCAGAUAUCAGGAGGAACACCGGCGGCGAAGGCGGGUCUCUGGGCCAUAACUGACGCUGAGGAGCGAAAGCGUGGGGAGCGAACAGG